rnacentral:rRNA from 1 species
CCUACGGGUGGCAGCAGUGAGGAAUAUUGGUCAAUGGGCGGAAGCCUGAACCAGCCAAGUCGCGUGAGGGAAUAAGGCCCUACGGGUCGUAAACCUCUUUUGCAGGGGAGCAAGGGCGGGGACGUGUCCCGGCCCGGAGAGUACCCGGAGAAAAAGCAUCGGCUAACCCCGUGCCAGCAGCCGCGGGAAUACGGGGGAUGCAAGCGUUGUCCGGAUUUAUUGGGUUUAAAGGGUGCGUAGGCUGUGAGUUAAGUCAGCGGUGAAAUGCCCCCGCUCAACGGGGUGAAGUGCCAUGGAUACUGGCUGGCUUGAAUGCGGAUGCGGUAGGAGGAAGGUGUGGUGUAGCGGUGAAAUGCAUAGAUAUCACACAGAACACCGAUUGCGAAGGCAUCUCACGAAUCCGCGAUUGACGCUGAUGCACGAAAGCGUGGGUAUCAAACAGGAUUAGAUACCCUAGUAGUC